GACGUGGGGGCACCCUGACCGCAAUGCCGCGUGAGUGAAGAAGGCCUUCGGGUUGUAAAGCUCUUUUGUCAGGGAAGAAACACCGGCUCUAACACAGUCCGGGAAUGACGGUACCUGAAGAAUAAGCACCGGCUAACUACGUGCCAGCAGCCGCGGUAUACGUAGGGUGCAAGCGUUAAUCGGAAUUACUGGGCGUAAAGCGUGCGCGGGCGGUUAUACAAGACAGGCGUGAAAUCCCCGGGCUUAGCCUGGGAAUGGCGCCUGUGACUGUAUAGCUAGAGUGUGUCAGAGGGGGGUAGAAUUCCACGUGUAGCAGUGAAAUGCGUAGAUAUGUGGAGGAAUACCAAUGGCGAAGGCAGCCCCCUGGGAUAACACUGACGCUCAUGCACGAAA
rnacentral:rRNA from 1 species